UACGUAGGGGGCGAGCGUUGUCCGGAAUCAUUGGGCGUAAAGCGCGUGUAGGCGGCCCGGUAAGUCCGCUGUGAAAGUCCAGGGCUCAACCCUGGGAUGCCGGUGGAUACUGUCGGGCUCGAGUCCGGAAGAGGCGAGUGGAAUUCCUGGUGUAGCGGUGAAAUGCGCAGAUAUCAGGAGGAACACCAAUGGCGAAGGCAGCUCGCUGGGACGUGACUGACGCUGAGACGCGAAAGCGUGGGGAGCAAGCAGG
rnacentral:rRNA from 1 species